GAAGGCACACAGCAUUGCUAAUACCCGGACUUGGGCGUGGUGAGGCUGUUUUGGACUCCGACCUCCGGAGAAGUCCUGGCUCCAUCCUGACAAGCAGUCAGCCAGCAUUGUUUGAGCUGAAAGAAUAGAACGGAGCUCCUGAGAACAAAAGGUGCUUACUGGAUGCAUGGCUGCCGACAAUAAAAACUGCACUUCCCCGUUUCCCUUGCUCACAUCAGUGGGAUGAACGUCUACCAUGAACUUCUAAAUGGGGAGCAGCCCCUCUGGACCCUCU